rnacentral:lncRNA from 1 species
AAAAUAUGCAUCAUCUCUGGUAGAGGCUUUCACCCUUUUCCAUAUAUCAUGAACAUUUUAAAAGGAUAUUUGAGGUCACUGAAAAUAUUUUGGUUGAACCUAUUUAAUUUCUGUUUUCUAAUAUUUCAAUUCUGUUUUGAUUUGAUUCACAGACCAAAUCAUUUAGUAGCUCCUGAAAAUAUUUAUGUGGCUUGAUGCAAUAUAUUCAAAGCCACUCACAGGUUUUCAGGAUUUUUGGACCUGCAAUUCUUUUAUAUAAGAAUUAAAUCCAAAUCAAAUAUUUAUUGAUUUAAAUCCAAAUGGCCAAAAUAAUUCCUCAAAAAUGUUCCAUAUUUUUGGUUUGGAUCAAAACCCUUGCCAUAAAUAUUAAACAUCAUUGGGGAGCAUUUUGGAAACAUUGGAUGCAUUUCCAGGGUUAUUUGCCCUUCUUUUAAAUAAAAUUUUGAGGCUUUCAAAUUUCCUCAAUUCAAGUUUCAGAAAUUUAGACAUGAUGCAACACCAGAUGCUAGCACUAGGCAUUAAUAGAACUAGGGAUGUGACAACUCACCCCCACUAACAAAAAUCUCGUCCCGAGAUUCAAGACGUGAGGUAAGAAGACAGAGGGGCACAACUAACACGGCCUUCACGAUCCGAUUGCCCUUCUCGAAGGUGUUGAUUCAUUGCAUCAUGUCGAUCUUAACAUCCUCGCUUUUGAGAUCUUCAUCCACGCGAUGACGACGGAAAGAAACUCAACUAGGAUUGAGCUUCUCGAAGAUCGAGCUAAACAAUAUCAACUCGCGGAAUGAGAUGCUGAAACAUCUUGAGUUGAGACACAGGACACAUCGAGAGGGAUGGAAGAACAACGACGGGGUUUGAUUUGUGGGCAGCAAUUCCACGCUUAAGUAGGAUGAUCCAUGGUUUCAAAGUAGCGAGGAGAUAAUUGCCAUGAUACCAAAACGGGGCACCUUGGGGAAGGUGACUCGAAGAACUAUUCCCUUAAGUGGCAAAAAGAAUUACUUUUGAUCCAUAAAUCGUUGAAGCUCUUCAUACCAGCUUAAGGCAAUUUACAAUUGAUCAUUUGAGAUAGCUUGAAGAGAUGGCAUACUUGGACUAGAAUGGAUGAUAUGGACUACCUUGUUGAAGACAACACAAUGGAUGAUUUUUGCUUAUCAUCGGAAAUGGAUGGGACCUAUGGUAAGUCUACUUUUGAAGAUGACCAUGAACAACAACUACUGAGGUGCAAGCUGGGAACAAAAUGCAAAUGUUGGGAAUGAUUCUAGUAACUGGGGAGAAGGUUCACCGGCAAAGGUGAUUCCACCAAUUGGAUGGCUAUCAACAACUGCGAGGACGGAGGCACAUUCCAGUUAAUGACAAUGUCAGAACCUAGUGCCUGAGCGUGCUCUCAAGAACUUGAGCAUUUCCAUACUCAUCAAGGUUCUGCCAAUAUCCGUGUCAAGGAUCCUGGCAACACAACAUGCUACCAUGAUGAAUAAUGGUGGAAGAUGCAGAUGCAAAGAAAGAUAACACUUUCUCAGAUUUCACCUUAGCGAAGCCAAGGAAACAAAAUCUGGAUGAUCGACUGAGAGACAUUUAGCACUCCGCUUCUAAUGUUCUCCUUGAUGUACUGGUUACCACGGUCAUGCUUUAAGCAUCGGCAUAGCCACCAAGUAGUGGUCGGACUUCGGAAUACAAUAGAUCCAUAAGGAACAACUUCUGGAGUAAAACCUAUGAAAUCAUCAUGGGAAUGUGGCCAACUUUCUUCAAUCGAGAUACUACAAUAAUAGGUCUUCCAGCUGGAUGUGUUGGCCACGACAUCCACUUUACCGGUUAUCGAGAGACCAAUAUUAUAUAUCUUGGAAAAUGCUCCAACCAUCAUAUCUGCCUGAGAUUCAGAUCUGGUUGGUGACAGGAUAUUCCAGACUCAUCGAGUCUAGAAAGGAAAAUGAAGGUUUGCAGUACAAAUCGACGAGAUGACAUUGCGAAAUUCUCGGGGGAAUGAACUAUGGUAGUAAGCUCCAAAACAUGAGCCGGUUCUGCUACAAGCAUGUGAACACGUUGUCCUAGACAAGCAUGGUCACCUGGUAGUCUUAAAAUGAAACACUACCGAGUUCAGGGGGAACCAUCAACGAGGAUAUCGAAGUCCUUGCAUAGGUCUAACCCUUAAGAAGAAACUUCUUCUCCUUGAACAAAUCAAUCAGUGGCUUGGUGUGCUAGGGAUACGUAUAGAAUGUAGAUGAUUAGUCUAUCAGACCAUAGAAUACUUUGCACAUGCAUGACUGACUUGGGAUGAUACCAGAGGAAGCAAAAACAAACUUUCUCGAAUUCACGACGGCAACUUACAUCAGAUGCACAUGAAUUAGAGGAAGUCACAUCUUUCAACCGGACAUAUGCUUCAUGGUCGGGACAUGAGGGCAAUGCUUAUAAAGUUUCCAACACUAGCUGGAUGUUCAACACAAUCAUGGAGGAGACAAAAUGCCGCUGAUGGGCUCAACAGCAACUCAUCGGAAUUUCCAUAUCACUGGACUUCCACCACUAUGUGAACAAUGUGAUAGUAUUGGUCAGACCAAAGAUAUAAUGGUGUAUGCUCGAGGGACAACCGCAAGUAAGACAACAUUACGAACAUCGUUGGUUCUGAUUUGAUUUGACGAUAGCCCACACUCAAAUCAAAGUUUGGACAAGAUAAUAGAUACAACAACUGAUCACGAGGACCAAUUGGUGAAGAUAUCAUCUUUCUUCAACACACACACACACACACACAAGGAUAUCCCUUAGGGAUGAGCUAAGUCGGACAAGUUUUCAUCUUCCAACUCUCCAAGUUGUUGUUAAGCUUAACCAACUAGCUCAGGGGUAUCCAACACAGAUUCUUGGGGAAACGUGGUUUAUUGAAAAACCAUCUUGAUCACGAACUCAACAUAACGGUCAGGUGACAACCUGGUAACACUUCCGAGAAGAUAUUCGGAAAAUCACAAACCACCGGUAUGUUACUAAGCUCGAGAACAACCUUGCUUUUGAGGGCAAGAUGAUAUGAUCAAAGAGUGAGGGAUUGGCACAAUCCUAACCCAUUGAUCGAAGUGUGCACCAGAAAUAUGGACUAGGUAGCACGAUCAGUCUUAGAAUGAUAAUUCAAUAACCAACACGCUAAGGAUGAGAAUAUUGUCCAUUAACUACCAAGCAACGGAGUUGCUAGGAGUAUUGAUUUCACACACCAUGAUUCACUUGUCGACAUUCCGGUUGCAACAACACUGAAACCGAGAAAUGAAUAAUGAUGGAGAGAGUAUCACUGCGUCAAGAAUUCAUAGGAGAAGGUGCAAUUCUCACGACGCUCUUGACAUAAAGUGGGUAAUACUCCGAGGUAGAACAGAACAAAAGCUGGAUUGGCAUUUUGAUCUGCGGAAUACAACCACUUUGACCCGAUCCCAGAAAUGGAUGAGGUACUAGAGUUUGUUUCUCCUAGUCAUUCCGAAUAGAAUGGCUUGACGGACCACAGAAGUAAAAGGCACUGAUGAACAUGAAUGCACGACUACUUCUGACUAUCAAGUGAUAGACGAAGGUCGGAAUAUAACUGAAGGGGGGGAACAACUCAAGGAACAUAUAACUUUCUGAGUGGUGGAUGCAUAGGUUAGUAUGUCGAACGAGUUCAAUACAUUUCUUCCGGAUAACCCAUGCAGAAAGGUAGAACUGGCAGAGCCACAAUAUAGAAUGGAGAACUCAUCAAGAGCACUCUGGUUGUGAUCCUUUGGUUCAAGAACUUCUGCCAUAAGUGGUUCAUAGUAUUUGGAAGAAGGAAAUACCACGGACCUCGAGGUCUAUCACAAGGUUUACUAAUGUCCUAAGGAACUAGCAAACAUUAUCAACAUGAAGCAGGUAGGGUGAGUCUCGGGUUCAAAACCCAGGAAUAGAAUGCCUACUAACUAAAUGGCAUCACGGGAUGCUUUCGAGAAUGAUGGCCAGAAUCAUCACACUGGGAACACGAAACAUGGUUCGAUUACUAGGUGAUCCUCUAAGACACCUAGGGUCAUAAUAAUAGUUCCAACAUAAAUGCCGAGGCAACGGAGUACCUCAACUCACCGAUUAGUGUGAUUAACCUGGCCUAAAUGGACAUCAGGAACAGGGGAAAAGGUUUGCAAAUGCAUCAGACUAUUUAGAAACCUGGGAUGACUUGGGCAGCAUAACGGCUGUAAAUGCUCAAAAAGAUUUGAGACAUCCUGCAAAAAUGGUGGCAUAACCACUCAGAAGCACAAUAUCAAGGUUCUGAGGCCAGUUAUGAAUAUAUGGAAGUAGUAGGAACUGAACUGAGGCUUGAACUCAACAAUCCUAGGCAACUACGGUUUAGUGACACGUCAUACUGAUAGAUAGAUGAGAAGGCCUAGUUCUUAAUCCCCGUAGAAAAGAAGAGGUUGACUCAGAUCAGAAGGCCAUGAGGUAUAAGGAGUAAAAAGAGCCUUACGUUCCCUUCCACAAUCAAUUCCCUUAUAUAACUAAAGCAUUCCUAGACACGACUUCGACCAGUUUGGCUUGGUAAUCCUACAGGCAGUUAGGCUCUGAUACCAACGCUGUCGGGACCCCGAUCCUAGGUCACACCGGUCUAGCAUGUAACACAUCAUAUCACUUUGUGGCCUCACGCACGGUAUCUCCACGGGUGCCACCUUACCUGGCCCGGGACCGUUUGCGCCUUUUGGCUCACGUAUAUGAUAGUGUCGCUAGCAUCCAUAUGACAAAGAACCCGGGCCGACAUGGCUAGUCGUGAACCCAAAGCGGCACAGACCUAUGGAGACAGGCAUACAUGAAUCACAUCGAACAUGUCGGUCAUCAACGAGUGAUUCCGGGCUGUAGCACUGGGCUAACAGGACUCCGGGGAUCCCGGGCUGUAGCAGGCUAGGCAGGACUCUGGAAAUCACGCGUGACAUUUCCCCGAAGGGACAGACAUAGGGACGAAGUGAAACACAUGCCGACCAGUCAAGUGUCCUGAACAGUAGUGCUGGGCUAGCAGGACUCCGGUGAACCGGGCUGUAGCGGACUACUAUAGCUCGAGGAACACUAGACUACAUUUCCCCAUAAGAAAGGCUGCGAACGAUAAACAACUAGGUUGUCGGAUCCUACACAUACCAAGCAUUUUAAUCAUACACACAAUAUGCUCGAUAUGUGUGAAUACAACAUGGCAUCACAACAUAACUCUACAACUCAAGUAUUAAUUCAUUAGGCUCCGAGGAGCGAGAUAUUACAAGCAUGGGUCUCAUGACCCAACAAUCAUAGCAUACAAGUCAAAGCACAUGCGGAAGCUUAACUUGUCUGAGUACAGACAACUACAAAUGAAAAGGCUGAGAAGCCUGACUAUCUACCAGAUCCUGCCGAGGGCACAAGAUCGUAGCUGAGGUAUCAAGCUAAACGUCGAAGUCCACGCGAAACUACUAGCGAGACUGAAGUCUCUCUGCAAAACAUAAAUUAAGCAAACGUGAGUACAAAGGUACUCAGCAAGACUUACAUCAGAACUAGCUACAUAUGCAUCGGUAUCAACAAAAGGGGUGGUGGUGGAGUUUAACUGCAGCAAGCCAGCUUUGACUCGUUGGCUAUUCUGAACUACGACUGCAAGCAACUCUUUUGAGGUGGCAUACACGAGUCCACAUAUUCACCAAUCAAUACACCACUAUGGAUCCUCUCUCAUCUCCCUACGAGAAGGCCAUCCAUAGCACUCACACUUAUCUUGCGAGUUUUAAAGUAUCCACUUUCACUUGUCUAUGAACUGUUAUAGGCAACCCAGAAGUCCUUUACCGCGGACACGGCUAUUCGAAUAGAUCAUUUAUAACCCUACAGGGGUGUACUUCGUCACACAUGUUUCCACCACUUAGCGUCUGCACACGACAUGUGCUCGGCAGACUUCAAGCGAAAGCCGACGUGGGUGUAGACCACGACCUGACUAACCACACAAGUCUCUAGUCCAGGUUUAUCGCCUAUUCGAGUUCCAUCCGCGAGGAGAUCCGGCCGGAGUUUCGCUCACAGCCCCAAACGAUGUGUGCAGGGUUCCAGAGACACCAAACGGGCGCUCGGUACACCCGGCCACGGUGUAUCUACCGCAACAUAGCCCACCCCUAGGGUCAGCGCUAUGCACGGCCGCCAACACAUAUCCUACAAACACCAGAAACUAAUUGCAACUCCUGGACAGAGGACGAGAGGGGUCAGUAAGUCGAGCGGGGUCAUAUUUCAGGGCCCAACGUGUGGUAGUAGCUGUUUCAUGGAUCACAAACACAGAACUCAGUUCCUGAGGACGGUUUCAAUGAGACAACCCACCAUGUACUCCUACAUGGCCUCUCACCGCUACCUUUACCAAAUCGUGUUCACACACUUAGCUCACACACAGUAGGACAUGUUCACAACUUUCCAAUUCAUCCCCGAUGAAUCAGACCUGACACAACUCUAAGCAAUAGCAGGCAUGACAAGCAAAAAUGAAUGAGUAGGCACAUCAGGGCUCAAACAACUCCUACUCAUGCUAGUGGGUUUCAUCUAUUUACUGUGGAAAUGACAGGUCAUGCAGAGGAUAAGGGGUUCAACUACCGCAACAAGUAACAGAUGAAUUGUUGUUGUCCUAAUGCAGUAAAAGAGAGCAGGAGCGAGAGAGUGGGCUUGUAUCGGCAUGAACAAGGGGGUUGUGCUUGCCUGGCACUUCUGAAGAUAUCAUUGGGUCUUCAUCAGUGCCAACGAUCACAUCGUCGGUACAACGUCUAUCGAGAGGGAACAAAUACCGGCAACAGAGAAAGAAACACAAUCAAUGCAAUGCACAAUAUGAUGCAUGAUCAUGACAUGUCAAUAUGCUGUGGUUUGAGCUAAUGCAACUAGCUAUGAUUUAAAUGAAGUUGGUUUGAGUACAAGAUUCAAAUUCCAACCCCAUAUAUGAUUAUUUAAAUGCCCUUUAUUUGUUUUGUCCAAAACAGAGGACAAACAUUGUUCAAACAUGCAUGAAAAUGGUACAGAUGGAUUCCUUGAAUUUUUCUGAUAAUUUUUCAUAUAUAAAUUAUUUCAUUUAGAGCUACGGUUGAAUUUCUAUGAUUUUUAGAAGUUUUGGAUAUUUUCUGGAAUUUCCUGAAUUAUUUAAAAUCCAGAAAAUCAUUUACUGCGUCAGCAUUGCGUCAUGCUGACCUCAGCAAGUCAACGGUGGCUGACCAGGUCAAACCUGACCAGUGGGGUCCACUGGUCAGUCACACAGUGCUGGCUCGAGUCAAUGACAGGUGGGGCCUGGUCAACCUGUGACGUGGCCAGGUCAAACUGACCGGUGGGGCCCGUGGGGGUUAAUUUAAUCUAAACAUAAAUAAAACCCGGUUAGUUAGGGCAUGGGGCCCAGUGGUCAGUGGGUCAGGGGGAUUGGUUAGCGCGUCAUUAGCCUAAACUAAUCUGCCACGUCGGCUAAACGGCGGUUAGCCGCCGGUGCUAAGCAAAACACGGCGGCGCUCCUUGUCCGGCCAUCUCCGGCGACGAGAGCUCACGCGGCUGGGCUCUAUGGAUGUAGUGCAUCGAGGCGCAUCGGAUGGUGGCCGUGGGGGAUGGCGGGGUGGCCGGAAUCUUCACCGGCGUCGACUGUGGCGGCUGCCGGAGCUCGGGUGAGCUCGGGGCCGAGGCUACAACGGCCGUGGCGCUGCGGGGUUGGCACCUACGACUUCUACACGGUGCGGCGAGUACGUAGAACGCAUGCCCGGGACCAAAUGGUCACCGGAGUGUCGUCGGCAUCGAGCUCGUGCGGCGGUGAGUGCUCGGCUUUGGCGGAACGGAGGCUAGAGGACGGGAAGGACGCGGGAAAGAGAGGGGAAAUGCGGCGGAGCUCACUGGGGGGUCGUUGAGCAGCUCAGCGUGCUUGGGGACGGCUCGGAGGCGACGAACCCACGAUGGCGAUCUCGGGUGCCCGAGGAGGAAGACGAGGCGAAGGCGGCUCCACAGGGCGCCCGGGCUCGCUUGGCUCGUCAGAGACAAGGAUGAAGAUGCCGCGGAGCUUCUGGACAUGGCGGAAGGGUGAGGGGGUGGCUCUAGGCACGGCGGCAGCGAACGGCGGUGGCGAUCGCUUUCGGAUGCGUGCGGGAGAGAGAGCAGAGGAGGGGGAGGAGCUCGAGAGAGUGAGCGGGAGGGUCCAGGGGGUCGCGGGCGUCUCCAGGCGUGGAUAGACACGAAGAGGAGGCCGCCAGCACGAAGCAGGAGGUGGAAUCCUCCUGUGUGCACUGCUGCUGGCACGCAGCUGCUUCGGGGCGAGGGGAGGAAGACGACGGGCGAGGUGCUGGUGGGCUGGGCCAUUGAGCUGGGCCGGCUCUGCUACAGGUGAGCCAGGUAAGGCCCUUUCCCUUGUCUGUUUUAUUCUAAUUUAUUCUGUUUUCUAUAUUCUGCUUUAUGUUUGCAAAUAAAAUACCAACCAAAACACUUUGGUUAUUUCUGUAAAUUUUUGCGAGGGAUAUUUGAAUUAUUUCCAAACCACACAAUAAAUUUCAGAAUAUUUGGAGCAACCAAUAUUUAAUGGUAACUUUUAAACUCCAACUCAAAAACCAUAAUGAUUUAAUUCAAUGACCAAAAUGUCCUGAAAAAAUAUGCAUCAUCUCUGGUAGAGGCUUUCACCCUUUUCCAUAUAUCAUGAACAUUUUAAAAGGAUAUUUGAGGUCAUUGAAAAUAUUUUGGUUGAACCUAUUUAAUUUCUGUUUUCUAAUAUUUCAAUUCUAUUUUGAUUUGAUUCACAGACCAAAUCAUUUAGUAGCUCCUGAAAAUAUUUAUGUGGCUUGAUGCAAUAUAUUCAAAGCCACUCACAGGUUUUCAGGAUUUUUGGACCUGCAAUUCUUUUAUAUAAGAAUUAAAUCCAACUCAAAUAUUUAUUGAUUUAAAUCCAAAUGGCCAAAAUAAUUCCUCAAAAAUGUUCCAUAUUUUUGGUUUGGAUCAAAACCCUUG